GACGAACGCUGGCGGCAGGCUUAACACAUGCAAGUCGAACGCAUCCUUCGGGGUGAGUGGCAGACGGGUGAGUAACGCGUGGGAACGUGCCCUUCAGUUCGGGAUAACCCAGGGAAACUUGGGCUAAUACCGGAUACGUGCGAGAGCAGAAAGAUUUAUCGCUGAAGGAUCGGCCCGCGUCUGAUUAGCUAGUUGGUGGGGUAAUGGCCCACCAAGGCGACGAUCAGUAGCUGGUCUGAGAGGAUGAUCAGCCAAAUUGGGACUGAGACACGGCCCAAACGCCUACGGGAGGCAGCAGUGGGGAAUAUUGGACAAUGGGCGCAAGCCUGAUCCAGCCAUGCCGCGUGAGUGAUGAAGGCCUUAGGGUUGUAAAGCUCUUUCGUCCGGGACGAUAAUGACGGUACCGGAAGAAGAAGCCCCGGCUAACUUCGUGCCAGCCGCCGCCGUAA
rnacentral:rRNA from 1 species